rnacentral:rRNA from 1 species
CAAUGGCAUUGCCCGGUAGCUAAGUGCGGAAAAGAUAAGCGCUGAAAGCAUCUAAGCGCGAAACUUGCCUCAAGAUGAGUCUUCCCUGGGCCUUUAAGGCCCCUGAAGGAACGUUUAAGACUAAGACGUUGAUAGGCUGGGUGUGUAAGUGCAGCGAUGCAUUGAGCUAACCAGUACUAAUGAUCCGUGAGGCUUAACCUUACAACACCGAAGGUGUUU